rnacentral:tRNA from 1 species
UUUAGUGCAGUAGGCAGCACAUCAGUCUCAUAAACUGAAGGUCCUGAGUUCUAACUCUGAA